rnacentral:rRNA from 1 species
GACGAACGCUGGCGGCGUGCUUAACACAUGCAAGUCGAACGGAAAGGCCCUGCUUGCAGGGUACUCGAGUGGCGAACGGGUGAGUAACACGUGGGUGAUCUGCCCUUCACUUCGGGAUAAGCCUGGGAAACUGGGUCUAAUACCGGAUAGGAGCCAUUUUUAGUGUGAUGGUUGGAAUGUUUUUUCGGUGUAGGAUGAGCUCGCGGCCUAUCAGCUUGUUGGUGGGGUAAUGGCCUACCAAGGCGGCGACGGGUAGCCGGCCUGAGAGGGUGGACGGCCACAUUGGGACGGAGAUGAGGCCCAGAAGCCGACGGGAGGCAGCAGUGGGGAAGAUUGCACAAUGGGCGCAAGCCUGAGGCAGCGACGACGGGUGGGGGAUGACGGCCUUCGGGUUGUAAACGCCUUUCGCUAGGGACGAAGCUUUUUGUGACGGUACCUAGAUAAGAAGCACCGGCUAACUACGUG